GAUGAAGAACGUAGCGAAAUGCGAUAAGUAAUGCGAAUUGCAGAAUUCAGUGAGUCAUCGAAUCUUUGAACGCACAUUGCGCCCUGUGGUAUUCCGCAGGGCAUGCCUGUUCGAGCGUCAUUUCAACCCUCAAGCCUCGCUUGGUGUUGGGUCCUGCCCGCCGCGGCCGGCCCUAAAGAUAGUGGCGGCGCCGCCUGGCCCUCAGCGUAGUACAGCUCUCGCUCCAGGGUCCGGCGGCAGCCUGCCAGAACCCCCCAACUCUGUGGUUGACCUCGGAUCAGGUAGGGAUACCCGCUGAACUUAAGCAUAUCAAUAAGCGGAGGA
rnacentral:misc_RNA from 1 species